rnacentral:lncRNA from 1 species
GAGAGCUGCACUUGUGGUGUCUCUACCAGCAAGCAUCAAAUUCAAGAAAGUGUCCCUUAGAAAUGUUUGCAAUGUACCCAAAUCACCAUCUUUCCAUUGAUUGUACAUUUUGAUGUACGCGUUUAAAAAUGUGAAUUCAUCGUCUUUGGCUGUACUUUCAUGCAUCAACUCUUCUUGUUUCCGCGAAAUACAAGGAUAUAAGAACUGAUCAAUAGCUUCCCAUGCUUGAAUAAGCUUCUUUUCUUUACCAAUUCGAAGCCAUUUUUGCAAUUUCCAGCAACUUUCUGGCAAGAAAUGUCUGUACAUAAGUGCAUCCAGAGAGUCGUUGAACGCGUUUUCACAUGGAACAUGAGGUAAGCCAAUAGACAAACUUUUUGGAUCAUGAUCAAGUAACAGUUUGCUUAUAGCAUCAAAAGUGAAUCUCUGGAAAAUAUCUUGUAAAUCAAACAGGGUGCCCUGUUCAGCAAAACCAUCAAGAACUGGUUGGAGCCCGUUUUCGAUAAUGCUCCACAUGUUCCUCUCCAACAAAGUUUGGAACUUGGCAUGAUUCAUUAAGGACAUGGUGGUCUUCCUAUGCAUCUCCCAUAGCUCAUAAUCAACAUUGAACAUCCCAUUUCCUAACAUAUCAAAAAUUUUACGAAACUCAACACCCUUUGGAUAGUUUGAGAAGUUUUUACUGAGGAUAUGAUGGAUAUUUGCAGGAUCACUAGUAAGUAACAUGUUCAAGUUGGCAAGAACAGGACCAUGAAACUCAAAAGUUCCCUUAGUUUCUAUAAGAGCAUCAGUUACAAAUUCAUGGACACGAUGAGCAUUUCGAAUAAGCCCAGGCAACAUUCCAACUAGUGGCCAAUUUGUUGGCACUGAGCUUGAUUUCCACCAUCUAUUACUAAGGUACCACCAUGUAGAAUAAGUAAAACACAUGAUGAUAACCAAAAGAGAAAGAACAUACAUUUCUUGGAAAUGGAGAGAAGGGACUUGUUUAAGUUGAGGAUUAGUUCUUUCAACUUCACAUUUUAUAAGACCAGAAAAGGGAAGGCAUGGGCUCAUAUUUGAGUUAGGCAUUUACAAGAUCACUACCUUUGCCUCCCACAUGAGUUGCUAAACUAAAGUGUCAAUGCCAGCAAGCUAAAUUAGAUAUGGUUCCAUUUUGUCAUAUUAUUACUUGUCUCACCAGAAGUCUGGUGAAAUGGAUUGAAUCACUUAUCAGUCCUACCUUAGUUAGGAAAAAACUUCUAUUAGGAAGUAAUAACAAGGCUAUCUUGGCCAUAUCCAAGAGGUUUACCAAAAAACAGAGAAACCUACAAAAUAAUAUUCUCUCAAAAAAGACACUCACAUUUUAAUACAUAGUAGGGCCCCAGAACGCUAAAAGGUGGGGGGAACAAGAGUUGUCACGAUAGAAAAGAGAAAAAAAGAAAUGACUAUAAGGAACCAACGGCUCUCUCUUCUUAAACAACCUAUAUCCUCCACACUUAAUCAGCAUUUGAUAGAUUAUCCAACCCCGAGCAAUCUAGUAUGCGGGGUCGGUCGUUAGCGGGUAUUGUUUAGUCAUUCAGAUAGUGACUGGCGUUUUUUAGCUAUGCAUUACACACCUCAUGUGGAUCUAGCUUUCAACAGCGUAGAACACAUUAUGGGAGAUGUUGAAGGGGGCUGGUUGCUCCGUUAUAUGCAUGCUAAUGGGGCAAGUAUGUUUUUCAUUGUGGUUCACCUGCAUAUUUUUCGCGGUCUAUAUCAUGCCAGUUAUAGCAGUCCUAGGGAAUUUGUUCGGUGUCUCGGAGUUGUAAAUCUUCCUAUUAAUUGAUUGUGACAGCUUUUAUAGGAUAUGUCCUACCUUGGGGUCAGAUGAGCUUUUGGGGAGCUACAGUAAUCACAAGCUUAGCUAGCGCCAUACCUGUAGUAGGAGAUACCAUAGUGACUUGGCUUUGGGGUGGGUUCUCCGUGGACAAUGAUACAAAUGGGAACUACAUGGGUGCACGAAAAAACUAUAAUGGAUCGAAGACCACUCCUCAAUUGAAGGAAGCUUAUCUCCGCCCAUUCAAAAGCUCUCCUUUAGGUAUUCUGUUUAUUUUUAAUAGUAAACAAACUUCAAAGCAGAUAAAGAAAAAGGGCAUCUCCAUUCAGAUUUUCUAAAUAGUUAGUAAAACAUUGAACAUCACAUAGGCCAUAACCAUGCAAGCAAUGUCAUCCAACAUUUCGAUAUAUAAUACGAAGAGUUUACAUUAAUUGAAAGAAAAACUCAAGACUAUGAUGAUGCGUUUAUAACAUAAUAAAAACUAAUUCAUGAGGACGAUUUUAUUGAUGCACUUGAAUGCAUUUUACUAAGAUGCUUAAUCAUGUUAUAGUAAUUAUAUCGACACUGCUUGCAUAAGAUCCUACAUACGUCAAUAUUGUUCAUGCAUUGGACAUAAGAGGAACCCUUUUGACAAGCCUAACUUUCAGACCAUGUUUCAUUUGAAUGAUAACAGAAGAAUUUGGAAGAAUUAUUUGAUCUUCCCCUAAUUGGAUAUGAUAAUUGUAUAUGAUGGUAGCUGCCACUAUUUUCAUCUGAAUGAAUGCCAUUUCCUUACCUAUACAAGUCCUUGGACCUGCAUUAAAGGCCGGGAAUUUGUAAGAUGGCUCAUGUUUGAUCCCUCCACGUUCAGAAAUCCAUCUCUCUGGCUUGAAUUCUAAGCAAUCUUUUCCCCAUAUGCUUUCCAUUCUCCCCAUCGUAUAGAACGAUAGCACAACUCUCGUGUUUGGACUAACAUGGUGACCGCUCGGAAGAAUGUCAAAUUCAAGUGGAAGUUUAUGCUCAAUUGCAACUGAUGGAAAAAACCUCAAGGUUUCACACAAAGCACCAUGUAGAUAGACUAGUCUUUUUGUUUCUUCUAUGUUGAAACACUUGAGAUUUUCAUCUUCUUUGAGAUGCAAUUGUUGUUGAAUCUCUUCUCUAAUCCUUUUCUCUACCAAGGGAUUUUUAGCUAAGAGCCAGAAAAACCAAGUGAGAGCUGCACUUGUGGUGUCUCUACCAGCAAGCAUCAAAUUCAAGAAAGUGUCCCUUAGAAAUGUUUGCAAUGUACCCAAAUCACCAUCUUUCCAUUGAUUGUACAUUUUGAUGUACUCGUUUAAAAAUGUGAAUUCCUCGUCUUUGAUUGUACUUUUCUGCAUCAACUCUUCUUGUUUCCGCGAAAUGCAAGGAUAUAAGAACUGAUCAAAA